rnacentral:rRNA from 1 species
CCUACGGGAGGCAGCAGUGAGGAAUAUUGGUCAAUGGACGAGAGUCUGAACCAGCCAAGUAGCGUGAAGGAUGACUGCCCUAUGGGUUGUAAACUUCUUUUAUAUGGGAAUAAAAUGUUCCACGUGUGGGAUUUUGUAUGUACCAUAUGAAUAAGGAUCGGCUAACUCCGUGCCAGCAGCCGCGGUAAUACGGAGGAUCCGAGCGUUAUCCGGAUUUAUUGGGUUUAAAGGGUGCGUAGGUGGAUUGUUAAGUCAGUUGUGAAAGUUUGCGGCUCAACCGGAACAUUGCAUUUGAAACUGGCAGUCUUGAGUAGAGUAGAGGUAUGCGGAAUGCGUGGUGUAGCGGUGAAAUGCAUAGAUAGCACGAAGAACUCCGAUUGCGAAGGCAGCAUGCUGGAUUGCAACUGACACUGAAGCUCGAAAGUGUGGGGAUCAAACAGGAUUAGAUACCCGUGUAGUC